UACGUAGGGGGCAAGCGUUGUCCGGAUUUAUUGGGCGUAAAGCGCGUGUAGGCGGCCAGGUAGGUCCGCUGUGAAAACCCGAGGCUCAACCUCGGGACGUCGGCGGAAACCAUCUGGCUAGAGUCCGGAAGGGGAGAGUGGAAUUCCCGGUGUAGCGGUGAAAUGCGCAGAUAUCGGGAAGAACACCUGUGGCGAAGGCGGCCCCCUGGGCCGGCCCUGACGCUGAGACGCGAAGGCGUGGGGAGCGAACAGG
rnacentral:rRNA from 1 species